ensembl:lncRNA
GACAGUUUCCUGCCGUGUUCCGGUAUUUAUUUUCCGGUGGUGCCGUGACCCGGAUCGACAACUCGGGACAUCUGUCAGAUCUGAGAGUUUCUUCACUGAAACAUGAGAGUGUUUUUUUUUCUUUUUUUUGAACAGAGCAAAAUCCACAGAUACUGUUUGCUGGAAACUUGUUAUUUGAGAAUAAAUUAUUUAAAACAGAAUAUUUUCAUGCUCUUAGUGUAAACUGAGUGGGCUAACUACGACGAAUAUUUAUCCAUCAGUGUGUGGAAUAUGUCUGGCUCUGUCAUUUCGUCUCUGAAGCGUGAUGGACAGGUCAGAGCUCCGUUACCCUUCGGAUUCUCGCUCGGGCAAAAUAAGAUCGAGUGCAUAUGUUUAAAAGAUAAAGCCCUUGCUAACUGAAAUUUACAUUCUUGUCUGUGUUAAGCCCUAUUUGGAUGAUAUUCUUAAUAAGUAGGUGGUUUAAUCGAAUGGAAUUCUAUUUGUGAUUGCAGUCGAGUCAGAAACGGCCAAGAUUGUGCAUUCUAUACCCGGUAUCUAGAAAGAUAACCUUUCACUUACCAUGAAAUGGCUUACAGAAACAACACCAAAUGUACAUCUUAAUCAAAGACUCCAGCAAAUCAUGUGCAAAACAAGUUUUUGCUAUUUUUUUUAAAUACUUUUUUUUUUGUUGUGUGCUGGCUAUCUAGGAAGCACUCACUCUUUGGUAGUAGGAGAACCAGGGAAGAUCCAGCUAGGAAUUUGCAGAACUAGGGAAACUACAGCUAGGAACUAGGAUGGUUAGGGAAACUACAACUAGGAACUAGGAGAACCCAAGUAUUUCCAGCUAGGAACUAGGAAAACUAGGGUAAUUAAAGCUAGGAACUAGGGGAACCAGGGAGGUUCCAGCUAGAAAUUAUGAGAACUAGGGAAAUUAAAGCUAGGAACUAGGGGGACCAGGGAAGUUCCAGCUAGGAACUAGGAUGGCUAGGGUAACUACAGCUAGGAACUAGGGGGACCAGGGAAGUUCCAGCUAGGAACUAGGAUGGCUAGGGUAACUACAGCUAGGAACUAAGAGAACCAAGGAUGUUCCAGCUAGGAAGUAGGAAAACCAGGGAAGUUCCAGCUAGGAUCUAGGAUGGUUAGGGUAACUACAGCUAGGAACUAGGAGAAGCAGGGAAACUGUGAACCAGAAAAAUCACAGCUAGGAUGUAGGAGAGUUAUAUAAACUACAGCUAGUAGGACUAUAAGAACUGGGGAAAUUAAAGCUAGGACGUAGGCAAACCAAAGAAAGUACAGAUAUGGACUAGGAGAUGGACUAGGACUAGGAGAACCAGGUACACUACAUCUAGGAAGAAGCGAUAUUAUGAAAACUCCAGUUAGGAACUAAGAGAACCAGAGAAACUCCAGCUAGUAACUAGGAGAACAAGGGAAAUUAGAACUAGGA